GCCUGCCCAGUGACUUUUUAAACGGCCGCGGUAUCCUAACCGUGCAAAGGUAGCAUAAUCACUUGUCCUUUAAAUAAGGACUAGCAUGAAUGGCUAAAUGAGGACUUAACUGUCUCUUACAGCCCGCCAAUGAAACUGAUUUCCCAGUACAAAAGCUGGAAUAAACACACAAGACGAGAAGACCCUGUGGAGCUUCAAAUCAAACCCACCAACCAUGGUUCUAGAUUUUCAGUUGGGGCGACUUUGGAGCAUAAAAAACCCUCCAAACAUGUAUUAUUCAAUUUUAUCAAGACCUACAUACCAAGACACAACAAAAGACCCAGCAGCAUCUUGAUGUUGUCUGAUAAGUGAACCAAGUUACCCCAGGGAUAACAGCGCCAUCCCCUUCUAGAGUCCCUAUCGACAAGGGGGUUUACGACCUCGAUGUUGGAUCAGGACACCCCAAUGGUGCAGCCGCCAUUAAAGGUUCGUUUGUUCAACGAUUAAAGUCCAACGUGAU
rnacentral:rRNA from 1 species